AAGGAGGGGAAGAUGGCGGAGUGAGAGGAAGAGGCGGAGGGGCCGGGGCCGGCCGGGGCCCCGCGGCCUUGGCCGCGCUCAGGUUUGUUUUUCUUCACCUUCAUGACAAGAAUAAGACUUUCCCAUCAGUUGUGGACAUGGAUACUCAAGCUCAUGAUCCGCUGAAAUAUUUGCGUGCCUCAUUAAGAAGGUGAUGAUGGUGUGCUGUAUUGCCAUUUUCACAGUCUACUCGCUACUUCUAACAUAGGAGUUGAAAGUUAUUACCUGAAGAUUGUUUCUGAACAACUAAAGGAUUAAGGCUGUUUCUGUUCUAGUGAGCAAAACCCUGUCCUUCACUUCCACGGAGCUGAAUGAACAAAGAUCUCUUCCCUUCUAGUGUCAGCCAUCUCACCCAACAUUUGAUUCCUGAGAUUACUUCUCCUACAGAAGGACCCUACUGUUUCAUCAGAACUCAAAAACAAAGUAACAGAAGUCAGCAUUAGUUUCCCUGAAGAAAUGUCUUCAGUGCCAGCCCUUCAUCCAGCUUUUUGCACUCUGUUUUAAAUUGAGAAAAAACUUUGCAAUCGGAUGCAGCUGGUGUUCUUCACUGAUACCUUCCUCAUUUUCAGAAGAUUAAGUUCUUCAGUAUGUCAUAUUGGAAUUCCUGGCCUAUAAAGUAUCUGUAUGCAUUGCCCUGUCAACCUUGGCGUGUAUGCAGCAGGAAACCAGGACAUACUUUCUGCUCUGUUAUGAGGAAUAAACUUGCCAAGCAACUGGAGAAGUCCCACACAUAACAGGUAUUUUGUAGUUCAGGAUCCUGACUUGACUCUGUAGAUAAAUAUCUUGAUGUUAACUCACACAAAGCAGCUAAUGCACAGGAACAAAUGCAGAAUCACCUUGUCUGUGGUGUGUAACAGCGUCAUCCCAAUCUGUGAUCAAAAUGUAUAUUUGCAUGUAUAAACCCACAUAAGUUCUGGCUAUGAAGAACUUUGAGCAGAAGAAGAAAUUACUCUGCACCACUUCAUUUUUAGCAAAGAAAAAUGAAGCUUUAAAGACCUCUAAGGUUACAAGAUAAUGAUUAAGUUCACAUUAAUCAUUCCCUCCUUUGGGCUUUUUAUGGAUCCUCAGCAGCAAAAGGAACAAAACCAUUCUACAGUUGAAAAGAUGUGACAGAACUUCUUUCUUUAUUAAAGAAAUUAACUUCUGGUGAGAUGGAAGAGACCUGAGGUAUAAAGCUGCAGCUUACGCCCUGCAGCUUCCAUGACACAGAUUCAGCUUUUUCAUAGCGCUGAUGGAAUCCGAUUUUUGAUUCUUUUGUGACUGAGAACUGAGAUGAUUUGUAUGUUUCCAUCGUCUCCGCCCAGAAUGAGCUCAGCCAUGUAAGAGGUACGAGUUGAGAGAGUAGAAAUGCUUAGGGUUGGGACUUUUUCUGGUGGUUCUUAUUCCUUCCCAAAUUAAGGCGCUAUCUGUUGUUCUUAUGUUUACACAGGGUUCUCUGUCUCCAUUGUUUGUGAUUAUAUAAGGUAUUUUCAAUCAUUUUCAGGUGGGAUCUUAUACUGUUCACAUGCUCCUUGCUAUGGUAUUAUAUAUGGCAAGUAAGAUUUCUUGGCAAAAACUAAUCUCCAUU
rnacentral:lncRNA from 7 species